GACGAACGCUGGCGGCGUGCUUAACACAUGCAAGUCGAACGGAAAGGCCCUGCUUUUGUGGGGUGCUUGAGUGGCGAACGGGUGAGUAACACGUGAGUAACCUGCCCUUGACUUUGGGAUAACUUCAGGAAACUGGGGCUAAUACCGGAUAGGAGCUCCUGCUGCAUGGUGGGGGUUGGAAAGUUUCGGCGGUUGGGGAUGGACUCGCGGCUUAUCAGCUUGUUGGUGGGGUAGUGGCUUACCAAGGCUUUGACGGGUAGCCGGCCUGAGAGGGUGACCGGCCACAUUGGGACUGAGAUACGGCCCAGACUCCUACGGGAGGCAGCAGUGGGGAAUACUGCACAAUGGGCGGAAGCCUGAUGCAGCAACGCCGCGUGCGGGAUGACGGCCUUCGGGUUGUAAACCGCUUUCGCCUGUGACGAAGCGUGAGUGACGGUAAUGGGUAAAGAAGCACCGGCUAACUACGUG
rnacentral:rRNA from 1 species